AACGAACGCUGGCGGCGUGCCUAACACAUGCAAGUCGAACGGAGGUAGCAAUACCUUAGUGGCGCACGGGUGAGUAAUGCAUGGGAAUCUGCCUUUUGGAGGGGGAUAACUACGGGAAACUGUAGCUAAGACCGCGUAAGCAGCAGCAAUGCUGGAAAUGCCGGGACCGUAAGGCCGGCAGCCGAAAGAUGAGCCCAUGUUCCAUUAGCUAGUUGGCGGGGUAACGGCCCACCAAGGCGAAGAUGGAUAG
rnacentral:rRNA from 1 species